GAUUGAAAAUUCAUUUAAAGACUUUAUCAAGCUGUAGUACAGACUACGACAAAAAUGAGGCUAGGAAAGGGACUUGUUUUAAGCCUCGUGCUUUUCUGUCUUUACUUGUUACAAGAGACUAUCAGUGAUGAGGAUCCGGGCGGAUGUAAGCCGUGUCCAGAGAAUAUCGUCUGUCCCAAACCGACCAAGAGACGCUGUGAACUAAAACGUCGUCCUUGUGGCUGUUGUGAUGAAUGUGCCCUUAAAAGAAGGGCUAAAUGCAGUUACAAAACAGUUCCAUGUGAUAGUAAAUUAACCUGUGUUAACAAUCGUGGCUUUGGACUAAAGGAAAUACCGUUUGAUCUUCCGGAUUUUGAGGGCGUAUGCAGAUUAAGAGCAUGGAAUGGAGAUUAUUCAAUUAAAGCGAAAAUGGUGAGGAACUACAAACUUGUAGAUCGGAACUAGAUGGUGUUGCUGAUAAUAAAUUAUAAUAAAAUACUGACCAACA